UCUAAUUUUCUCUACAUAGUAUUUAAAUAUUUCAUACAAACUGUUCAGCUUCAUUUUAGGAGUGCAGCAAAUACAUUAAAAUCUGAGCAGUUAAUUGCUUCACACAUCUGAUUACAAAUAAUUUCAGCUGCUUCUUACGUGAGUUAGUUUUUGACUUUUUGCACUAUUACAUGAUUUAAAUCUUUAGCAUAAUUAAGCAUUAAAUAUAAUUUCCCUAAAAUUGUAUUCUAAAACAUUUAACUCAUUCAGUGCUCACUGAAGAGUGACUAAAUCUUCUAAACCUCAUUUCUGCUUGACAAAAAGUCAGGCCACAUCAGGAUUAAUCUUAGCAGGAAUUAUUAAAACAAAACAUUUGUUUCAAUUAAAAAUGACAUUCUUACAAGUAGUGAGAAAAGAAAUCUCAGCUCUGGGCCCACAACAUAGACCUGAGACGAGAGAGGGGAAAAAAAAUGCUUGCUAAGCUAUCCGUUUCACACACGCAGGGACAGAAGGUUCGAUAUUCAUUCGAUCGAUGAAUGAAAAGGCACAAUGGCAAAAUCGGACGGGCUCCUUUUCAAAUCCACGUCUCCAAUGUCCCCCCGCCACCCCUCCACAGUCUGCAGUCGCUGGGCGGCUGGUAUGGCAGGCAGAGAGAGAAAGAGAGAGAGAGCAGAGCAAGGGUUACAUCAAGGCUGCUCCCUGGACCGUGCAAACAAGUCUAGACCAGUGACCUGUUCAAUGGCUCCUUUUGAGGAGUGGGGCAAGUUCGGUCAGAGCGAGGAGAAAGGCAGGCAUAGCCUCUUUUCACUGCCGAAGCAGCUCACAGCUCGCGAUCGACAGGAGAGAGCCGGAUUAAAAAUUGGCCCACCAGCAAACCCCUCCCCUCAAGCCAGACACAUCCAUGAAGGGUCAUGACUACAAAUUCCUCGUGUGUCCUCAAGUGUAUCCACUGAUCCCUUGAGAAGGUGGACACUUGGAUAAUCACAGUGUGUUUACUGUGAGUUUGCAGGGAAGUUUUUUUAUAUUUCACGACCAAAGAGCUGAUGUUUGAGAGAUGAAUCUAGCAGUAAAACCACCCUGUUGUAUUUUGUGUUUUCACACAUUUAUGCUAAAUUGCUGUCAUUAUCUCCUCUUGUCUAGGACUCCUGGCAAAUGCCUUUCUUCGUUCUCAGAGGUAAGAUAAAUCACAACUUGGAUUUGCAACACAACAGCAAAGCUCAAAUCCUUACUUUCUCGUCGUAUUGAUCCUUUUGGUUAGCAGUCAAGAGUGCAGGAUAGUGUGUUUUUUGUAAGACUGCAUUGUUUUUCCUGCGAACUUGCAGUAGACAAGUGAGUCAGUAAAAGUGUCAGACUGCCGUAACAGACGGCCUGUGCGAGAUAAUUAGCCUGGAGUCAUUUGGAAGCCGCUCAGCUCUGCCCAGGUGCCCACUGCGCACAGAAAGAGACCAGACGACCUUUUACUCAGCUCCGUCCCACUGCAGUCACUUAAAACAGUGAUGGAUGCUUCCCUUUACACUCAGCUCCCUACUGGCCCCCGUUCUCCUUUUCCUCUGCACCCCCUCCCUCCCUCCCUCUCUCUCUCAUCUCACCAUUCCCCUCCCCUCUUCUACUCUCCUCUCGCCUUAUUUGUCCCUUUUCCUCUCCUUCUUGUUUUUCUCCCGUGCUUUGCCUUUUUACAGCCGCCAUUCUCUCUGUUCUUCCACAGUGAUGAGGAGGAAGAGGAAGAAGAAAGGUGUAAAGAGGAGGAGGGGGGAGUUGAAGUGAAGUGGUGGAGGCGUUUCCUGCCAGCGCGAGAAGAGCGGAGUCAAGCCCGGCGCCCCCUCCUCCAACCCCACCCCAGCCCCUCAGCUCCUCAUUAGUAUGCACCGGCUGUCGCUGGGGUGACAUGGCCGCUGGAUUCGGUCCCGACUGCAAGAACAUCAGCAGCAGCGUGGCGGAGAGCGGGAUAGCAGGUAAGGACAAUGAGAGAGCAGGAGGGAGGAGAGAGAGAUGGGGGGGGGGCAAAGGAUGGACUUCUUUUAUGGACUUAACCCCCCCCCCCCCCCCCCCCCCCCCCCACUCCUUAACACUGCUGUAAUGCAAACACGCAGAUCCUCAGAUUGAAGUCUUUAAUUAAAGUGAGUACUGCUGUGCGCCGAGCUUUUGUUGGAGCACACAUCUGGAAUCAUGCAGCGUUCUCUAGAUUCUCUCUUUAACACGCACUUUGUACAAUGCAUUCGUUAACAAAUGAUUGGGUUUUUUUUGUGUGUGGCUGAGAUGCUAAAGGAAAAUGUAGUAAUUGCGUGUUGUUAACGAUGAAUUCAUUAAACACCUCUGUUCUGUUGAA